rnacentral:rRNA from 1 species
UACGUAGGGUGCAAGCGUUUAAUCGGAAUUACUGGGCGUAAAGCGUGCGCAGGCGGUUUUGUAAGUCUGUCGUGAAAUCCCCGGGCUCAACCUGGGAAUGGCGAUGGAGACUGCAAGGCUAGAGUUUGGCAGAGGGGGGGUAGAAUUCCACGUGUAGCAGUGAAAUGCGUAGAUAUGUGGAGGAACACCGAUGGCGAAGGCAGCCCCCCUGGGUCAAAACUGACGCUCAUGCACGAAAGCGUGGGGAGCAAACAGG